rnacentral:rRNA from 1 species
UGGGGAAUUUUGGACAAUGGGGGAAACCCUGAUCCAGCCAUGCCGCGUGAGGGAUGAAGGCCUUCGGGUUGUAAACCUCUUUCAGACGGAACGAAACGGUUCAGGUUAAUAGUCUGAAUUAAUGACGGUACCGUAAGAAGAAGCACCGGCUAACUACGUGCCAGCAGCCGCGGUAAUACGUAGGGUGCGAGCGUCAAUCGGAAUUACUGGGCGUAAAGCGUGCGUAGGCGGCUUCGCAAGUCAGGUGUGAAAGCCCUGGGCUCAACCUAGGAAUUGCGCUUGAAACUACGGAGCUAGAGUUUGGCAGAGGGGGGUGGAAUUCCACGUGUAGCAGUGAAAUGCGUAGAUAUGUGGAGGAACACCGAUGGCGAAGGCAGCCCCCUGGGCCAAAACUGACGCUCAGGCACGAAAGCGUGGGGAGCAAACAGGAUUAGAUACCCCAGUAGUCCCUGAGCGGGCUGGCAAGGCGCAU